rfam:Chamaesiphon minutus PCC 6605, complete genome.
CUUGGUGUCUAUGGCCGAGUGGAACCACACCGAUCCCUUCCCGAACUCGGAGGUGAAACGCUCGCGCGGCCACGAUAGUUGGGGGGUUGCCCCCCGCAAAAAUAGCUCGAUGCCAAGC